rnacentral:rRNA from 1 species
UGGGGGAUAUUGCACAAUGGGGGAAACCCUGAUGCAGCGAUGCCGCGUGGAGGAAGAAGGUUUUCGGAUUGUAAACUCCUGUCGUAAGGGAAGAGGAAGGACUGUACCUUACAAGAAAGCUCCGGCUAACUACGUGCCAGCAGCCGCGGUAAUACGUAGGGAGCGAGCGUUGUCCGGAAUGACUGGGUGUAAAGGGAGCGUAGGCGGGAUGGCAAGUCAGAUGUGAAACCUGAGGGCUCAACCUUCAGAUUGCAUUUGAAACUGCUGUUCUUGAGUGAAGUAGAGGUAAGCGGAAUUCCUGGUGUAGCGGUGAAAUGCGUAGAGAUCAGGAGGAACAUCGGUGGCGAAGGCGGCUUACUGGGCUUUUACUGACGCUGAGGCUCGAAAGCGUGGGGAGCAAACAGGAUUAGAUACCCUGGUAGUCCACGCUGUAAACGAUGAUUACUAGGUGUGGGGGGAUUGACCCCUUCCGUGCCGCAGUUAACACAAUAAGUAAUCCACCUGGGGAGUACGACCGCAAGGUUGAAACUCAAAGGAAUUGACGGGGGCCCGCACAAGCAGUGGAGUAUGUGGUUUAAUUCGAAGCAACGCGAAGAACCUUACCAGGUCUUGACAUCGAGUGACGUAUCCAGAGAUGGAUAUUUCCUUCGGGACACAAAGACAGGUGGUGCAUGGUUGUCGUCAGCUCGUGUCGUGAGAUGUUGGGUUAAGUCCCGCAACGAGCGCAACCCUUAUCAUUAGUUGCUACGCAAGAGCACUCUAAUGAGACUGCCGUUGACAAAACGGAGGAAGGUGGGGAUGACGUCAAAUCAUCAUGCCCCUUAUGACCUGGGCUACACACGUACUACAAUGGCGAUCAAACAGAGGGAAGCAAGACAGCGAUGUGGAGCCAAUCCCAAAAAAUCGCCCCAGUUCAGAUUGCAGGCUGCAACUCGCCUGCAUGAAGUCGGAAUUGCUAGUAAUCGCAGAUCAGCAUGCCGCGGUGAAUACGUUCCC